AGAUUUACAAUAACCCAGCUGAAUAACCUAGCUGAAAAGAAAGAUCCUACUGGUUCAAGAAUAUCUUGAUAGUCUUUUAGAUAGUUUAUUUUAACAUUUAUUGAAUUUUAUUACUACUAACUUUUUCUUUGAGAUCUGACGAAGUGAAACUUCAGAUGAUGUAUAUAUUUGUUGAAAUUGUGAGAUCAACAGUACAUAUGUUGUAAAAUUUAGAUGGGCAGAUCUGCUAUGAAUUAGAGAGGAGGAGUAUGGAAGGC
rnacentral:lncRNA from 1 species